CGCCGCUCAGAAACUUAAGAAUUGACGGGACCCGCACAAGCGGUGGAUCAUGUUGUUUAAUUCGAUGAUACGCGAAGAACCUUACCAGGUCUUGACAUCCCCCGCGAUGCUUUAGAGAUAAAGCGGAGGUAUUCGGGGAGACAGGUGGUGCAUGGUUGUCGUCAGCUCGUGUCGUGAGAUGUUGGGUUAAGUCCCGCAACGAGCGCAACCCCUAUUGCUAGUUACCAUCAUUAAGUUGGGGACUCUAGCGAGACUGCCAGUGAUAAACUGGAGGAAGGUGGGGAUGACGUCAAAUCAUCAUGCCCCUUAUGACCUGGGCUACAAACGUGAUACAAUGGCUGGAACAAAGGGAUGCGAAGCAGUGAUGUGGAGCGAAACCCAUAAAAACAGUCUCAGUUCGGAUUGAAGUCUGCAACUCGACUUCAUGAAGUCGGAAUCGCUAGUAAUCGCGGAUCAGAACGCCGCGGUGAAUACGUUCUCGGGGUUU
rnacentral:rRNA from 1 species